GCGCCAGGCGUGUAAGGCGUAGCAUCGCUGCCCGGAAAGCAGAAGGUGCAAGUUCGAUUCCCGCCUGGCGCA
rfam:Heligmosomoides polygyrus genome assembly, scaffold: HPBE_scaffold0006234